AAUAAAGUGCCUGAAUAAAGGAUUAUUCUGAUAGAAUAAUUAAGUAGAAAUAUCUACCUUUAUUA
rnacentral:tRNA from 1 species